UGUGAAUUCAUCUACUAAUCCAGACAGUCACAAAGAGGCAGGUCCUUCCUCCUCUGCUGCCACACCUUGGAUCACUGCCACCAUUUUAUUUAUUUUUCUCCUGGUCGUGGCCAUUGGACUGUAUCAUUUUAGCAAAGAGGCCAGUAGAGUGAAUGCAGGUAGAGCAACAUGUGCUGCUGUAAGAAAAAACAAGAAGAAGAAAGAAGAUGCACUGUCGUCUACACCCAUUUACUACAGCUUUGUCCCGAGUGACACUCAACCACAAGAUGGACUGUCCAGUAGACCUAUUUACAGCUUAGCCCAGGGUGACACUCAACCACAAAAUGAAGAUGAACUGUCUUCUAGAACCUUUUACUACAGUUUAGCCCAGGGUGACACUCAACCACAAG